rnacentral:rRNA from 1 species
UCGAGGAUCUUCGGCAAUGGGCGCAAGCCUGACCGAGCGACGCCGCGUGCGCGAUGAAGGCCUUCGGGUUGUAAAGCGCUGUCGAGGGGGAGGAAACCCCGCAAGGAGUUGACCUAUCCCUGGAGGAAGGACGGGCUAAGUUCGUGCCAGCAGCCGCGGUAAGACGAACCGUCCUAACGUUGUUCGGAAUCACUGGGCUUAAAGGGCGCGUAGGCGGGCUGCCAAGUCAGGGGUGAAAUCUUUCGGCCCAACCGGAAAAGUGCUUCUGAUACUGGCAGUCUCGAGGGAGGUAGGGGCGCGUGGAACUAGUGGUGGAGCGGUGAAAUGCGUAGAUAUCAAUAGGAACGCCGGUGGCGAAAGCGACGCGCUGGACCUUUUCUGACGCUGAGGCGCGAAAGCCAGGGGAGCAAACGGGAUUAGAUACCCCCGUAGUCC